rnacentral:rRNA from 1 species
UACGUAGGGGGCAAGCGUUGUCCGGAUUUAUUGGGCGUAAAGAGCGUGUAGGCGGCUUUACAGGUCCGUUGUGAAAACUCGAGGCUCAACCUCGAGACGCCGGUGGAAACCGUAAGGCUAGAGUCCGGAAGAGGAGAGUGGAAUUCCUGGUGUAGCGGUGAAAUGCGCAGAUAUCAGGAAGAACACCCGUGGCGAAGGCGGCUCUCUGGGACGUGACUGACGCUGAGACGCGAAAGCGUGGGGAGCGAACAGG